AAGCUAGGGGUGCUUUUGCUGAGAAUGUUGUCCAGGGACGACUAACCCUCAAGACUUGAACCGGAUAAUACCGGCGUAAGGAAGCUGAGAU
rnacentral:ncRNA from 1 species